ensembl:lncRNA
GUUGGCACGCCCAGCAGGUGAUUCCAGAGUGUCCGGCACGUGGUUCUGGUGUAGCCAGCACAUGAUUUUCCCGUGGCCGGCAGGAGGGUUCUGGCGAGUCUUGCAGGUGGUACUGGCAUGCCCGGAAGGUGAUUCCGGAGUGUCUGACAAUUGGUUCUGGCGUAGCAGGCAGGUCAUUUUGGCGUGUCCAGGAGGUGGUUUUGGGGAGUGGAUCAGGUGGUUACGGCAUGCUCGGCAGUUGCUUCCAGCGUCUCCAGCAUUUGGUUCUGGCACGUCUGAGAGGUGGUUCCGGCAUGCACGGCAGGUGAUUCCGGAGUGUCCGACACGUGGUUCUGGUGUAGACGGCUGGUGAUUUUGGCGUGUCCGUCAGAUGGUUCCGGCUAUUUGAGCAUGUGGUUCCAGCGUGCUCGGCUGGUGGUUCAGGCUGGUCUGGCAGGUGGUUGGGGUCUGUCCGGGAGGUGGUUCUGGCGUAUCUGGCACCUGUUUCUGGCACAUCAGAGAGGUCGUUCCGGCAUGCCCGGCAGGUGAUUCCGGAGUGUCCAGGAAGUGGUCUCGCAUAGCUGGCAAGCAGUUCAGGCGUGUCCGACAGGUGGUUUCGGUCUGUCUGGUAGUUGGUUCCGGAGUCUCCGGAACAUGGUUCUGGCACGUCUCAGAUGUGGUACCGGCAUGCCCAGCAUGUGAUUCCGGAGAGUCCACCAAGUGGUUCCGGCAUAGCUGGCAGGUGAUUUCGGGGUUUCCGGCAGGUGGUUCUGGCGAGUCGAGCAGGUGGUCCCGGCGUGUCCGGCAGCUGGUUCCAGUCUGUCCUGGAGGUGGUUCCGGAGUGUCUGCCGAGUGGUUCUGGCGUAGCCGGCAGGUGAUUUUGGCGUGUCCAGCAGGUGGUUCUGGGGAGUGGAGCAGGUGGUUCCGGCAUACUCGGCAGGUGCUACCGGCGUGUCCAGAACAUGGUUCUGGCAAGUCUGAGAGGUGGUUCCGGCACGCCCGACAGGUGAUUCCGGAGCGUCCGCCAAGUGUUUCUGGCGUACCCGGCAGGUGAUUUUGGCAUGUCCGACAGGUGUUUCUUGCAAGUCGAGCAGGUGGCUCAGGCAUGAUCAGCAGGUGCUUCCGGCCUGUCCGGCACGUGGUUCUGGUGUGUCUGAGAGCUGGUUCUGGCAUGUCCGGCAGAUGAUUCCGGAGUGUCCACCAAGUGGUUGUGGCAUACCCGGCAGGUGAUUUUAGCGUGUCAGGUAGGUGGUUCCAGCGAGUCGAGUAGGUGGUUCCGGCGUGCUCGGCAGGUGGUUCAGGCGGGUCUGGCAGGUGGUUUCGGUCUGUUCGGGUGUGGUUCCGGCAUCUCAGGCACAUGGUUCUGGCACGUCUGAUAGGUGGUUCCGGCCGGCCCGACAGGUGUUUCCAUGGUGUCCGCCAAGUGGUUCUGGCAUAGCUGGCAGGUGAUGUUGGCGUGACCGGAAGGUGGUUCCAGCCAGCCCGGCAGGUGAUUCCGAAGAGUUCAACAAAUGGUUGUGGCGUAGCCGGCAGGUGAUUUCGGCGUGUCCAGCAGGUGGUUUUGGCGAGUCGAGCAGGUGGUUCUGGCGUGCUCGGCAGGUGCUUCCGGUGUCACUGACAUGUGGUUUCGGGCAUGUCUGAGAG